ACUCCUACGGGAGGCAGCAGUGGGGAAUUUUGGACAAUGGGCGCAAGCCUGAUCCAGCCAUGCCGCGUGCGGGAAGAAGGCCUUCGGGUUGUAAACCGCUUUUGGCAGGAACGAAACGGCGACUCCUAAUACGAGUCGUUAAUGACGGUACCUGCAGAAUAAGCACCGGCUAACUACGUGCCAGCAGCCGCGGUAAUACGUAGGGUGCAAGCGUUAAUCGGAAUUACUGGGCGUAAAGCGUACGCAGGCGGCUUUGCAAGACAGGUGUGAAAUCCCCGGGCCUAACCUGGGAACUGCAUUUGUGACUGCAUAGCUAGAGUCUGUCAGAGGGGGGUGGAAUUCCACGUGUAGCAGUGAAAUGCGUAGAGAUGUGGAAGAACACCGAUGGCGAAGGCAGCCCCCUGGGAUGAGACUGACGCUCAUGUACGAAAGCGUGGGGAGCAAACAGGAUUAGAUACCCUGGUAGUCCACGCCCUAAACGAUGUCUACUAGUUGUCGGAGGGUAACUCCUUCGGUAACGCAGCUAACGCGUGAAGUAGACCGCCUG
rnacentral:rRNA from 1 species